AUUGAACGCUGGCGGCAGGCCUAACACAUGCAAGUCGAGCGGAUGAAGGGAGCUUGCUCCUGGAUUCAGCGGCGGACGGGUGAGUAAUGCCUAGGAAUCUGCCUGGUAGUGGGGGAUAACGUCCGGAAACGGGCGCUAAUACCGCAUACGUCCUGAGGGAGAAAGUGGGGGAUCUUCGGACCUUACGCUAUCAGAUGAGCCUAGGGCGGAUUAGCUAGUUGGUGGGGUAAGGGCCUACCAAGGCGACGAUCCGUAACUGGUCUGAGAGGAUGAUCAGUCACACUGGAACUGAGAAACGGUCCAGACUCCUACGGGAGGCAGCAGUGGGGAAUAUUGGACAAUGGGCGAAAGCCUGAUCCAGCCAUGCCGCGUGUGUGCAGAAGGUCUUCGGAUUGUAAAGCACUUUAAGUUGGGAGGAAGGGCAGUAAGUUAAUACCUUGCUGUUUUGACGUUACCAACAGAAUAAGCACCGGCUAACUUCGUG
rnacentral:rRNA from 1 species